rnacentral:rRNA from 1 species
UACGUAGGGUGCGAGCGUUGUCCGGAAUUAUUGGGCGUAAAGGGCUCGUAGGUGGUCUGUCGCGUCGGGAGUGAAAACUCAGGGCUUAACCCUGAGCCUGCUUCCGAUACGGGCAGACUAGAGGUAUGCAGGGGGAGAACGGAAUUCCUGGUGUAGCGGUGAAAUGCGCAGAUAUCAGGAGGAACACCGGUGGCGAAGGCGGUUCUCUGGGCAUUACCUGACGCUGAGGAGCGAAAGUGUGGGGGAGCGAACAGG